AUGGUCAUAUCGUGCUGAAACACUGGUUUCCAUAUGAUGACUGAAGUAAAGCAAUGUUGAGGCUGGUCAGUACCUAGAUGGGGGAUUGCUUGUGAAUACCAGGUGUUGUAAG